rnacentral:rRNA from 1 species
UAACGGGAUUAGAUACCCUGGUAGUCCACGCCGUAAACGAUGUCGACUUGGAGGUUGUUCCCUUGAGGAGUGGCUUCCGGAGCUAACGCGUUAAGUCGACCGCCUGGGGAGUACGGCCGCAAGGUUAAAACUCAAAUGAAUUGACGGGGGCCCGCACAAGCGGUGGAGCAUGUGGUUUAAUUCGAUGCAACGCGAAGAACCUUACCUACUCUUGACAUCCACGGAAUUCGGCAGAGAUGCCUUAGUGCCUUCGGGAGCCGUGAGACAGGUGCUGCAUGGCUGUCGUCAGCUCGUGUUGUGAAAUGUUGGGUUAAGUCCCGCAACGAGCGCAACCCUUAUCCUUUGUUGCCAGCGAUUCGGUCGGGAACUCAAAGGAGACUGCCGGUGAUAAACCGGAGGAAGGUGGGGAUGACGUCAAGUCAUCAUGGCCCUUACGAGUAGGGCUACACACGUGCUACAAUGGCGCAUACAAAGAGAAGCGACCUCGCGAGAGCAAGCGGACCUCAUAAAGUGCGUCGUAGUCCGGAUCGGAGUCUGCAACUCGACUCCGUGAAGUCGGAAUCGCUAGUAAUCGUGGAUCAGAAUGCCACGGUGAAUACGUUCCCGGGCCUUGUACACACCGCCCGUCACACCAUGGGAGUGGGUUGCAAAAGAAGUAGGUAGCUUAACCUUCGGGAGGGCGCUUACCACUUUGUGAUUCAUGACUGGGGUGAAGUCGUAACAAGGUAACCAA